CAGCAGCCGCGGUAAAACGGAGGGUGCAAGCGUUAAUCGGAAUUACUGGGCGUAAAGCGCACGCAGGCGGUCUGUCAAGUCAGAUGUGAAAUCCCCGGGCUUAACCUGGGAACUGCAUUUGAAACUGGCAGGCUAGAGUCUUGUAGAGGGGGGUAGAAUUCCAGGUGUAGCGGUGAAAUGCGUAGAGAUCUGGAGGAAUACCGGUGGCGAAGGCGGCCCCCUGGACAAAGACUGACGCUCAGGUGCGAAAGCGUGGGGAGCAAACAGGAUUAGAUACCCGGGUAGUCCCUGUCUCUUAUAC
rnacentral:rRNA from 1 species